GGGAGAUUCCGUAGAUCUCAGGAGCAGAUGAGCAUUUCACCUCUUGACCUACAAACACUACAAAGGUUUCUCUGUGUGGAAUUGGCUUUCAUGAAACACGCUGUGUAGACCAGGCUGAACUCACAGAGAUCCAUUUGCAUCUGCUCCAGAGUGCAGGGCAUAAAGGUGCGCUCCACCACCCCGCUAGAGUAUUGCUAACUGACUCUCACGGUGCUUUCUAAUUUCAGAAUGUACUUUGCUCUGCAAAAUCGUUUGCUUCCUGUUCAUAUGA